ensembl:misc_RNA 7SK 7SK RNA
GUUUGCAAAGGUGAUUUGGCUGUGUCGUUUGUCACCACAUUGAUCACCAGGGUUGAUUCUGUUGACUAACCUGGACUAGGUGAGUAUCCAAAGCCUCCUGCACGGCUACAUGCGUGGUCUGUGGAAGAGGACCACUUACUCUGAUGAAAGAAGACUGUGGUAAGGUCUAAGUGCAAGUGUGCCAAGAACUGCUAUGAAUUCAGCCAAGCAAAAUUGGAAAGUAUUUAAAGCAUAGAGCUAGGCAUGGUGGUACAUGCCUGUAAUC